CACAGUACCCAUUAUACAGUUGGGGAAACUAAGACUGAGGAGUUGCUGGCGCCUCCCCUAGGUCCAAAAUGCUGCCCGUCGCCCCCCCUUAACCAGUAUUGAGGAUGACGUCUUGGGACCUCACAUACUACAUAAGUGCUCUACUGGACCCUGGGACUACAGGAAGAGAAAACAGCCUUGACUUGCUGGGAGUGUCUUCCAGUUUCAACCAGAGGUAGAUCAAGUGACACAGAAGAUCAGGUGUCCUAGCCGUGAGAAAGCUGGGAAGAGCUGCCAAGACAGAGGGAAGCUGAGCGUCAAGCCCAGAGUCUCCUCCGACCUCUCGGCGAAGCCCAGGUUAGGAAGUACCACGCGAGAAACGCCCCCGCCCCCAAUAUCUCCAGGAGGUUGCGGCUCCCUUAAGAACACCCGGCGGAUCCAAGCAGGAAGGAGGCGGUGCCUAGACCUCAAACGGACGUGCGCAUAGGCCAAUAGGAGCUACUAUCUCGGCGACGAAA